UACAGAGGAGCCAAGCGUUGUCCGGAUUGACUGGGCGUAAAGCGCACGCAGGCGGUUGCGCGCGUGGGGGGUGAAAUCUGGCCGCUUAACGGCCAGGCGCCAUCCCAUACGGCGCGACUGGAGUGAUGCAGAGGUCGAUGGAAUUGCCGGUGUAGUGGUGAAAUGCGUAGAGAUCGGCGGGAACACCCAGGGGGAAACCAGUCGACUGGGCAUCUACUGACGCUGAGGUGCGAGAGCGUGGGGAGCGAACCGG
rnacentral:rRNA from 1 species